rnacentral:rRNA from 1 species
UAGGGAAUAUUGCACAAUGGGGGAAACCCUGAUGCAGCGACGCCGCGUGAGCGAAGAAGUAUCUCGGUAUGUAAAGCUCUAUCAGCAGGGAAGAAGAUGACGGUACCUGACUAAGAAGCACCGGCUAAAUACGUGCCAGCAGCCGCGGUAAUACGUAUGGUGCAAGCGUUAUCCGGAUUUACUGGGUGUAAAGGGAGCGUAGACGGAAGAGCAAGUCUGGAGUGAAAGCCCGGGGCUCAACCCCGGGACUGCUUUGGAAACUGUUUAUCUAGAGUGCCGGAGAGGCAAGCGGAAUUCCUAGUGUAGCGGUGAAAUGCGUAGAUAUUAGGAGGAACACCAGUGGCGAAGGCGGCUUGCUGAACGGUAACUGACGUUGAGGCUCGAAAGCGUGGGGAGCAAACA